GCUAGCGUGGCAUAGUGGUUUGAGUGUUGGACUCUAAGACUCUGGAGACCAGGGUUCGAUUCCCCACUUGGGCG